CGGCAAAAGCUCAAAUUUGAAAUCUGGCUCCUUCGGGGUCCGAGUUGUAAUUUGCAGAGGAUGCUUUGGGUGUGGCCCCCGUCUAAGUGCCCUGGAACGGGCCGUCAGAGAGGGUGAGAAUCCCGUCUUGGGCGGGGAGUCCAUGCCCGUGUAAAGCUCCUUCGAC
rnacentral:rRNA from 1 species